GAAUAUGUUCAUGCAAAAGGUGCUAAGACACUUGUUUUAGCUUAAAAGGGAAGAUCGGUGAAAAUCCGACACGGUCGCGCCACUGUAAGGAGGAGCCUAUUAUCAGUAAACCACUGUUUAUGAAACGGGAAGGUGAUAAUAGGUGAUGAUUCUAAGUCAGGAGACCUGCCUGUUGUUUGCACUCACA
rnacentral:ncRNA from 2 species